rnacentral:rRNA from 1 species
UAUGUAGGGCGCAAGCGUUGUCCGGAAUUAUUGGGCGUAAAGAGCUCGUAGGUGGUCUGUUACGUCUGCUGUGAAAACCCAGGGCUUAACCCUGGGCCUGCAGUGGAUACGGGCAGACUAGAGGUAGGUAGGGGAGAAUGGAAUUCCCGGUGUAGCGGUGAAAUGCGCAGAUAUCGGGAGGAACACCGAUGGCGAAGGCAGGUCACUGGGCCGCAACUGACGCUGAGGAGCGAAAGCAUGGGGAGCGAACAGG